AGCUCCAAUAGCGUAUAUUAAAGUUGUUGUGGUUAAAAAGCUCGUAGUUGGAUUUCGGCGGGUAGUGGUUGGUUUGAAUUGAUUCAACACUGACUUUUUUACCCGUGUGUUUUGCCAGAAUCUUACGGGUGAUCUUUUCCGCUUGUCCGUUGGAACUGGCAGGUUUACUUUGAAAAAAUUAGAGUGCUCAAAGCAAGCUUACUGCUUGAAUAGUUGCGCAUGGAAUAAUAGAAUAGGAAGUCGUUUCUAUUUUGUUGGUUUUCGGAAAUCGACUUAAUGAUUAAUAGGGAUAGUCGGGGGCAUUCGUAUUCAAACGACAGAGGUGAAAUUCUUGGAUCGGCGGAAGACGCGCAACUGCGAAAGCAUUUGCCAAGAAUGUUUUCA
rnacentral:rRNA from 1 species